CAUCUCACAAUAUGAUUAUUUGUUGUGUUUUGUCUGUCUUUCAUUCUUUCCGAUUAAAAACUAAAUUAAAGAACAUACCAGCUUGGUACAGGACAGACACAGCUUGUGCAGUUGUAGUAUUGGACCUGAUUGAAGUCUACUGAACGCCAUGGGUCCUCUGAGUGUGACGGGUUUUGAAACAGGUCAUCCGUUGAAUGCAACAAACUGAGCUGUUUGAUAUUUUAAAACAUUAAAACAAAAAUCUGACUAGCUAACAAUGGAUGAAGAGUAUAAGUGGCGGACACCAUUCAACAUCUUACCUGGUCCACAUUGCCAGCUGAGUUGAGCGUCAUGACAUAACAGCUUCCUCUAGUGGUGGAAGUGAUGCACUGCAGGAAGUCUGAAAUGUCAGUGUUCAUGGGAGUCUUGUCUGAUAUGUAAAAUGUAUUCACAGGGCGCAUCACCAGGGUUGAUAAUGAAGCCAGACAUUGUGAUGGGUUGUCUGGGAGACCGCUGGUCACCAAAUGGACAGACUGACAGGCAGGGUCAGAGAAAGCUAAGGCCAGUGCUGAGUGGAGGUCUCUGCCAGGACUUGUCUGUAAUGUGUGGAUCCAGCUCAAGGCUUCAUAGACUACAUCAGAAACUGGCACCUGAACCUGAUUUCAGAACCUGAGUGCUAAGACGUCCGUCCCGUGACAGACUCUCAGUCCAAAAAUAGAUUCUUGUGCUGUCAUCUUCUCUUCCACGGAAGCUGAAAUGUUAAGAAGGCACUGAGGUGAGAAAAGCUGAUGAAAAAUACAUGAUGUUUUGGAUAAAGGACCCAACUUUGACAGAUAAAAAAAAAAAAAAAAAAACUGUUUAUGUAGAAAACCAGCCCUCUGACAUCACAAAGAAAACUUAAAUAAUCAUUCCUUCAUUUGCAGGUCUCCUGCAAAAAUGGACUCAAUACACAUUAUAUUGGAAUGCACUCAUAUUUUAUAUAAAACUGAACUGUUGUCUUUCACCUUAUGUCUUCAGAUUAUUUGUGCCAAGCGAUACAGUUAAUGUGCAAAAUCCUUCAUGUUUUAUUGUUCAAACUGUUCUCAGAAAUUGUCUUAUUGAGCAACUUGUCAAAAAUAUAUAUUUAAAUAUGAUUUUUCAAACAUUACUGAUUUGUAUUGUUUAUUUUUUGCAUACGCAUCUCAUUUUAAAAUGAUAUGAAAAGCAAGCAAUAAGAAUUUAUAUUCUUCUGGAAUAAAAUCUUCAUCAUUUUAAACAGAGUAUUUCAUAUUCUCCCUCAGACAAACAGAGAAGUCUAUUCCAACAGCAAUAGUUCCAGUCUUUACUGCACUGCAUUGCCCAUGCAUCCUCACUCCAGCCAUGACAUAAUGAAUUCAAAAUGGCUACCAAGCCUUCCGUGACACACUGUAAAAAUGCGCUGUUAUAAAAACAAUAAAACCACUGGUCACGUUAUGACGUUAGAAGAAAUGUACACAAAACCCGCCGGAUCUAUCCGCCAAAUGAAUAUGUCACGGGCAAACACUGCUGUGCUAGAUUUGCUUAUUCACGCUUGAACAAUACACCCAACAGACCCGAAUGGCGUCCCCACGGUGCCCCUGAACAUGAAUUUCUGAAAGCGCGCAUUCGGAUGGACGGGCGUUCAGCCAAUAUGAGCGCGGCAAUAGUCUUCUUCAGCCAAUCACAUAAGCGGAUUAAGAAUCAGUGGAGGAUGUCUUCCGUUAUUCAGGUUCUGGGGUUGUAUUUUCUGCAUAGCGUUUCCUGCCCUGGUGCAUGGUGGUCGAACGAAGGGAUUGUUGGAAAAUUUUCGGAGGUUAGUAUAUAAAUGUGUUUUUACCCAGUGUGCCUUAUUUCCUCGGACGCCGCUUAGCCGGAGAGCGCGGCGAUGGAAGUGUGGUGGAAGUCGAUGUGGGACGAAGAACGAAAUAAAAUAGUGAAAACAAAUCGGAAGCGGUGUUUUAUUUAUUAAGGGCAGUUGGACGCACCGUUGUAAUCGGUUGCAACAUUGUAACGAUCCGAUUGUGAUUGUCAAGUUACCGCAGCAACCAAUUCAGUGUGGGCUAACGGUCGUUCCUUUGUGUUUAACGCCUUUAUAAAGGACAGUAUUGCUUUGCGUUACGUUAGUUUUGGGGAUGACAUAGUUAUAUGAAUUUCAACGGCGAUUGUAGUAUGUAGGUUAAACAUUAGGAAGCGGCUAAAGUAAAACGCGAGCAUUUUUUGUAGCAUAUUUGCUAACUUGUGAGAGUUAGCAUGACAGAUGUUCUGUCAAAUAAUAAAACGAAGCACUUAUGAGCAACUUUAGCCGGGCUGCCUUUGCAUCCCUGUCUAAAUAUUUAUAUACUCCUAACGUUAUUAUUUACAAAGUUGUUUCGUUGCUGUUCGGCUAAAAUGUAGAUGAGUGAUGAUAUGCCCGUGUUAGCACAGUAUUUUUUUUUAUUUAUUCACACGUGCCGAAUAAAAAAAAUAGUAUUAUUUCACCAUUUGAAAAAUAUAACUCAAUGCAGAAUGCUAUACGAUAUAUUCUAUGGCAACCUGUUUUAACAUUUCAGUUUUGUUUUUAUUCCACAAAAUAGCAAUUGUCUAAUUUUGUAUUGCUAGUAGUUUUAUAAAAGUAUUUUUUUAAAUAAUAUUUUAAUAGUGACAAGUAAUAUUACGUUAAUGGUGGAAAAUUACAAAAAAAAAAUUUUUAUAUCGAAUCCUUUGGGCAUCUGUGGUUGACAUUUAACUUUUUUUUGUUAGUAGGGAUUCUAGUUGUUGCUAGUGGUAUCUAUUCAGUACAAGUUGGAUGGAUACUAGAAUAUGUUCCAGUUGGUACAAGUAACUAGAAAGAGGUGUUAUUGAACAAUAACAUUGACUCAUCAGUAUAUGUCAAGUAAGAAAGUAAUGAGAAAUGAAAGUAAAAAAUGAAAGCGAUACUAAUUGUUACUGGAUUUUAUACAGUAAUUAGAAAAAUAGUUCCUAGAAAUGGGAUAGAUACCGAAUACUAGUUGAUGUCUGAAUCACAGAUCCAUAGUCACAACACCGUUAAUACAACAAUAAGAUAUUUUAAAAAUGUAAAAGUACUAGGACGACAAAAAUAGACUAAUUUUAAGAAAUGCACAUUAAAAUGACCAAGUACAGUUCUAAAAUGUAUAAUACUGUAGUAGUAACUACUGAUAUUCAGGAGGAGUACACAAGCACAAAACUAGUGAUUAUGUAAAACUAAUGUUGUUAAAAUAACUAAAAUAAAUUUAGGGACAUACAAGUAGUCAAUGGACUGUCAGAAUUUUGUAAAAUAACAAUGAGAGCACUAAACAAACCCCAUUAAAUCAAGGCCCUUAAUUGCCUCUGGGUUUUAACAGUAAACAUUUAAAGG
ensembl:lncRNA